GAACAAAUCAAAUCAAUCAAUUUUUGGGUGCCUCCCUGGCAGAGGGGUAUCCUCCGCCAAACCCUGUACAAAGCGUGGAGGCAGCGGGUUCGAAUCCCGCUGUUACUCUGGAUGUAUCUUCGUGCUGUAAUUCUCUGUAUUGUGCUAUCUGUCCAUCUACUUUACAAAAGCUUAUAAGCCUAAAUUGAGCACACAAGCCUUCAAGUGUAUGUAAAUCCAAUAAAUAAUGAAGCACUCAAUUUUUUGGCUGUCUUAAAAGGGCCGUAAGGCCUCAGACGCCCAGUUCCACUACAACGAACGAACGAACGAUUUUGGCUGUCUCUCCUAUUGUGCUAUCUGUCCUCUUCUACUUGACGAAGGUUUAUAAGCCUAUUUUGAGCACACAAGCCUGAAAAUGUAUGUAAUUGCAAUAACCAACUAAAAAAAUAACUAACUCAAUUUUUUUCUUCUUAGUGAAGUUGGUGAUAUCUGUCCUGAAUAAAAUAUUUUGUCUAACAUCAUGCCUACAGAAGAUGUGCCAAGAGAAUCAAUCCAAGAGGAAGUUGGAGUCGGUUAUAGAAGAAUGAGAUUGAAUACAGACCAAAGUGCCGAAAUCAACCGAAGCAGAGAUGUGUGGAAAAACAUAAAGAUUUCUGUUAAAUUGGGAAGAAAUUGUAGUGACAUGGCACUUUAUUCUUUUAUUUUUAUAUUAGUUGUCGGUUUGAUUAUCUUGUCCUACUAUGGUAUUGUUUGUCUUUACAAGCAUAAGGAGCCUUGUAUUUGCACUAACGAAACGUCUCUAGUAAACGAAACGUAUUCAUCCCACGAAACAUUGUCAGAAGAUUACAUUUAUUUUGCAGUCUCUAAUUUCUAAAUGUUGAUGUUUGCAUUGCCACAGUUGUGUCAAAUAUUUUAACUGUCUUAAUUAAAAGUUUAUUGUUAGUAUCAA